CCAAGUUGAUAAACAUCGGCGUAAAGCGUGGUUAAGAAACUUCUCAACUAAAGCCGAAUGCCCUCAGAACUGUCGUACGUUUGCCGAAGGUAAGAAGCCCAUUUACGAAAGUCGCUUUAUUCCUCUGAUUCCACGAAAGCUGUGAAACAAACUGGGAUUAGAUACCCCACUAUG
rnacentral:rRNA from 1 species